AUAGCUUCUUGGCUUUGGGGCUAAGAUCAACUAUGGUAUCUGUACUUAUCGAUUUAAUAUCUGAUACAUUCUCUAUCCGAGGACACUAUAGUAAAUGAAUGUUUGGAAUUAGCAGAUGGGAUAGGAGCUUGCUCUGUCUACUCCAUGCUUGGACCUGGUGUUCAGGAACAGUGCACAGAAA
rnacentral:snRNA from 1 species